rnacentral:lncRNA from 1 species
GUUUGUGUAGCUGUAAGAACUAGAGAUAUCCAUAAUCAUAUAUGCUACUAUGGGAGACUCAAACCUCCCGGCAUAAUCAAGGUAACUUAGCACCAAUGUAUACAAUAUGAGGGACUUUAACCUCCUAAUCAUAUAUUUAUUUGGGGUACUUAAACCUCCCGGUCAUAUAGACACUCGCACCAACUAGUACGGUUUCCAGUAUUUGUCCUUCGUACUCCAUUUUCACAGAAC